CCCUUAAAGUGGGAGGUCAAGGGUUCGAGUAGUGGGGGAGGCGACUUAUGGUGGAAAAGUGCCAUAAGCCAAAACCCUUGGGCCAGGGUGGGCCGUAGUGGCUCCCCCGAGGGACAAAUCCUGCCUGGAACCCGUGAGGGUGAAGGGAUGUUAAGAGCUGCUCACGACGCCAGUGGAAAGCCCGAGGUGGCAAGAGGCCAGGCGAGGGAUAGCCCUGGGCCGUGAGUGGUAACAGUGCCGGUCACAGAGGAGGGCCGGGCUGUUACA
rnacentral:lncRNA from 1 species